GGGGCGGCCUGCAGUCUGUGGAGGCAGCAGCCACGGUGGAGGUGCAGGACCGCGUGGCUGCUCAUCACCUGCCUGGCCUCAGUCCUGCUGUGGGUGGCCUGGAUCACCUUCUGCCUGUAUGGCAACGCGGCGCUUGGCCUGUCCCCAACAUGGGACAACCGGGUACAGGCAGUGGUGCUGCUGGCACAGGCAUGGCUGCUCAUACUGCUGCACGCUGCUCCUGAGGUCCACGCCACCUUACGGCCCCCGUCCCGCAUGAGAGAGGCCAAUUUAGAGGAGGGCCUUUCUCACCUGUAGUUUGGAGCAAACCGGGACUUCGUGUUCAGUGACAACAACUCAGGUGUCCUCCCCAGCCCCCAGGAAACAUUACAUUUUAAAUAAAUAAUAUAUAUAUCAUCA